UCGAGAAUAGUCUACAAUGGACGAAAGUCUGAUAGUGCAACGCCACGUGAACGAAGAAUCCCUUCAAGAUGUAAAAUUCUUUUAUACGUAAGCAAUGCCCUUUAUAUGAAUAGUAUAGAGGGAGGGAUUUAAGCGUAUGAAUAAACAACGACUAACUCCGUGCCAGCAGCCGCGGUAACACGGGGGUUGCAAGCGUUGUCCGGAAUUACUAGGCGUAAAGUGCAGGUAGGCGGAUAGAUAAGUUUAAGGUUAAAGGCUACGGCUUACCCGUAGUAAGGCGUUAGAUACUGUUUAUCUGGAAUGCGGUUGAGGGAGACAGAAUUCCUGGUGUAGCGGUGGAAUGCGGAGAGAUCAGGAGGAAUACCGAAGGCGAAGGCAGUCUUCUAAGCCGAUAUUGACG
rnacentral:rRNA from 1 species